rnacentral:rRNA from 1 species
UACGUAGGGCGCAAGCGUUGUCCGGAAUUAUUGGGCGUAAAGAGCUCGUAGGCGGUCUGUCGCGUCCGUUGUGAAAACUCGAGGCUCAACCUCGGGCUUGCAGUGGAUACGGGCAGACUAGAGUGCGGUAGGGGAGACUGGAAUUCCUGGUGUAGCGGUGGAAUGCGCAGAUAUCAGGAGGAACACCGAUGGCGAAGGCAGGUCUCUGGGCCGCAACUGACGCUGAGGCGCGAAAGCGUGGGGAGCAAACAGG